UUGGAGGGCAAGUCUGGUGCCAGCAGCCGCGGUAAUUCCAGCUCCAAUAGCGUAUAUUAAAGUUGUUGCAGUUAAGAAGCUCGUAGUUGAAUUUCGGGGUCAGCAGGUUGGUCGUGCCAAUGGUAUGCACUGGCCUUGCUGAUUCCUCCCUCUUGAUGANCCGUAAUGUCAUUAAUUUGGUGUUGCGGGGAAUCAGGACUGUUACUUUGAAAAAAUUAGAGUGUUUAAAGCAGGCAAGCGCUUGAAUACAUUAGCAUGGAAUAAUGAAAUAGGACGUUUGAUCCUAUUUUGUUGGUUUCUAGGAUUGACGUAAUGAUUAAUAGAGAUAGUUGGGGGCAUUAGUAUUCAAUUGUCAGAGGUGAAAUUCUUGGAUCUAUUGAAGACUAACUACUGCGAAAGCAUUUGCCAAGGAUGUUUUCAUUAAUCAAGAACGAAAGUUAGGGGAUCGAAGACGAUCANAUACCGUCGUAGUCUUAACCAUAAACUAUGCCGACUAGGGAUCGGAUGAUGUUAAUUUUUUAAUGACUCAUUCGGCGCCUUACGGGAAAC
rnacentral:rRNA from 1 species